UACGGAGGGUGCAAGCGUUAAUCGGAAUUACUGGGCGUAAAGCGUGCGCAGGCGGUUUGUUAAGUCUGUUGUGAAAUCCCCGAGCUCAACUUGGGAAUUGCAAUGGAUACUGGCAGGCUGGAGUAUGGUAGAGGAAGGUGGAAUUCCUGGUGUAGCAGUGAAAUGCGUAGAGAUGUGGAGGAACACCGAUGGCGAAGGCAGCCCCCUGGGUCAAGACUGACGCUCAUGCACGAAAGCGUGGGGAGCAAACAGG
rnacentral:rRNA from 1 species